UCUACGGGUGGCAGCAGUGAGGAAUAUUGGUCAAUGGCCGCAGGGCUGAACCAGCCAAGUCGCGUGAGGGAUGACGGUCCUAUGGAUUGUAAACCUCUUUUGUCAGGGAGCAAAGGGCGCCACGUGUGGCGUUUUGCGAGUACCUGAAGAAAAAGCAUCGGCUACCUCCGUACCAGCAGCCGCGGUAAUAGGGGGGAUGCGAGCGUUAUCCGGAGUUAUUGGGUUUAAAGGGUACGCAGGCGGAAUGUCAAGUCAGCGGUAAAAUUUCGGGGUUCAACCCCGUCGUGCCGUUGAAACUGGCGUUCUUGAGUGAGCGAGAAGUAUGCGGAAUGCGGGGUGUAGCGGUGAAAUGCAUAGAUAUCACGCAGAACUCCGAUUGCGAAGGCAGCAUACCAAGCUACUUCUGACGUUGAGGCACGAAAGCGUGGGGAGCAAACAGGAUUAGAUACCCCAGUAGUC
rnacentral:rRNA from 1 species